UGGGGAAUAUUGCACAAUGGAGGGAACUCUGAUGCAGCGACGCCGCGUGAACGAAGAAGGCUUUCGAGUCGUAAAGUUCUUUUAUAUGGGAAGAUAAUGACGGUACCAUAAGAAAAAGCUCCGGCUAACUACGUGCCAGCAGCCGCGGUAAUACGUAGGGGGCUAGCGGUGUCCGGAAUCACUGGGCGUAAAGGGUUCGCAGGCGGAAAUGCAAGUCAGGUGUAAAAGGCAGUAGCUUAACUACUGUAAGCAUUUGAAACUGCAUAUCUUGAAAAGAGUAGAGGUAGGUGGAAUUUUUAGUGUAGCAGUGAAAUGCGUAGAUAUUAAAAAGAAGACCGGCGGUGAAGACGGCUUACUGGGCUAAUUCUGACGCUGAGGAACGAAGGCGUGGGUAGCAAAAAGG
rnacentral:rRNA from 1 species